rfam:Scytonema tolypothrichoides VB-61278 scaffold_1, whole genome shotgun sequence.
GUCAACACCCCUGCCUAAAGGCUAGGGGCUUCUAGCCUCAAACUUUUAGGAUUAGUUGACCAGACUUAGAACCUUGUGUUCUACGUUAACGGCAAGUGUUUAAGUUCCUACCUUGGGAUGCGAAGCUAGUUCCAAGCUCUAGAAAUCAAGGAUUAAACAGAUUUAGAGGGCUGACAACAGAAGUGAAAUAAUUGGACAAGAUUAGAUAAGAUUGGACAGUAAACAACUUAUAAUGAAUAAAUGUC